AAAUUCCUGACCCUGAUGAGUUCUUUGAACCAUUAUUGGUUUUGGUGGUUCCAAAAUCAUCUACACAUGUUUGAAAUUGAGACUCAAACGGGAUUUUCACUCUAAGCAAAACAUUUCCUUUGUUGGGUUCAGAAUUGUGACUAAUUGAGGUAUCUUCAUCUUUGAGAGCACCAACAAGAGCAAGACCAAUGCCCCCUUUUGAAUCAGGUUUGUCCCAGGUUCUGUUUUGUGAGGAGCUUUUGUUUGGAAGGGUUGAGAAUGGGCUUCCAAAGGCAAAAGGGGAUAAUGCUCUGGCAUCAAGAAUUGAAGUUGGGCUCCUUAAGGCCUCAGUUCCUGAAGAGAGACACUUGUUGGUGAAAUCUCUGAAUUUUGGUGACCCAAAU
rnacentral:lncRNA from 1 species